rnacentral:lncRNA from 1 species
GACACAGGCACCGGCUUAGAGACCUCAGUCCCCCGGAGGAGGCUGGUCUGUGGGCAUCUUAGGACAUCCGUGAGAAGGCUCCAGAUGGAAAAUGCUGGAGGGCCCAGGUUUUCAGGAAGGCACCUCCUCACCUUUCAGUCCGGGAGAACGUGUUCCAGCAAAGCCAGGGAGAGAGGCUCGCCGGCCCAGGCCUCUCCAGCUUCUCUUAAAGGCGAAAAGAGAAGCUGAGGACCCCGCACGCUCCCCAGCGCAUGGAGCUGAAGCCACGACCCCAAGGAUCCCAUCCAAGAAACCCUAUUAUGUUCAGUCAUCAGGUCUCCUUGGGCUCCUCUCGGCUGUGAUGGUUUCUCAGACUUGCCUUGUUUUUGAUGACCUGGGCAGUUCUGAGGCGUGCUGGUCAGGUGUUUUGCAGAAUGUUCUUCAGCUGGCAUUUGUUUGCUGAUUUUCCUCAUGAUGAAACUAGGGUCACGGGUUUGGGGGAAGAAAACCACAGGGAUAAGGGGCCAUUCUCGUCACAUAUCAAGGGCACAUACUGUCACCAUGACUUCUCGUUGCUGACGCUGACACUGACCCCCUGGCUGAGGCCGUGUUGGUCACUGUCCAGUUCCUCCUUUGGCCCUUUCCACGCUGUCCUCUUUGGAAGGAAGCACAUACCUCUCUGCACAGCACACACGGAAGGGCUGGGGAGUGAGGCUCCGCUCCCUGGAGGCUGAGUGUCCACCUGAUUCGGGAUUCGUCUGCACAGUUCGUCUGUCCUCCCUCGUUUGUGUCCCUCUCCAGUCACCGCUUUCCAGCGCUAUGGACUCAGGGAUACUUCCUUGAGGCGCUGGGUUAUCAUCCACUACUACUUCAUUCUGUUGCUCAGGCCUUUCCAGAUGUGGCCACUGGAGGCGCUUUCCAUUGGCUCCUGCGUCCCUCUGAUCUAUCUCAUCGCUGUGCUUUUGUGGAGCGCAUCCUUCUGAUACGAAGACGCGCCAGACUCCAGCUGUAUAUUCCCUGUCCUCGUCCUGCAAUCAGUCAUUUCUCCCAGGAGCCCUGGUUUCUCUCAUGACACCACGGUGUUAAAAA